UACGAAGGGGGCUAGCGUUGCUCGGAUUGACUGGGCGUAAAGGGCGCGUAGGCGGUUCGUACAGUCAGACGUGAAAUUCCUGGGCUCAACCUGGGGGCUGCGUUUGAUACGUGCGGACUUGAGUGCGGAAGAGGGUCGUGGAAUUCCCAGUGUAGAGGUGAAAUUCGUAGAUAUUGGGAAGAACACCGGUGGCGAAGGCGGGUCUCUGGGCCACUACUGACGCUGAGGAGCGAAAGCGUGGGGAGCGAACAGG
rnacentral:rRNA from 1 species